CAUCGGCUCCUUGUUGUUUCACCAAAGUCAUGAAGCCAGUGGUAUCGUUCCUCCGGACCCGAGGUGUUCGUCUGAUUAUAUAUUUAGACGACAUCUUACUCAUGGCCCAAUCAAGGGAUCAACUAAGCUUACAUGUCGGCUGGACAACUACAUUACUUCAGAACCUGGGCUUCCUGAUCAAUUGGGAAAAGUCAGUACUGAUCCCC